CAAUCGGCCCUUUUCAGGGCCACCAAAUACUUUCAUCAAAAGAUAU
rfam:Anopheles culicifacies strain species A-37_1 cont1.10648, whole genome shotgun sequence.